rnacentral:rRNA from 1 species
GACGAACGCUGGCGGCGUGCCUAAUACAUGCAAGUCGAGCGCAGGAAAUCAUCCGAACCCUUCGGGGGGACGUUGGUGGAAUGAGCGGCGGACGGGUGAGUAACACGUAAAGAACCUGCCCUCAGGUCUGGGAUAACCACGAGAAAUCGGGGCUAACACCGGAUGGGUCAUCGGACCGCAUGGUCCGAGGAUGAAAGGCGCUGCGGCGGCGCCUGGGGAUGGCUUUGGGGUGCAUUAGCUAGUUGGUGGGGUAAUGGCCCACCAAGGCGACGAUGCAUAGCCGACCUGAGAGGGUGAUCGGCCACACUGGGACUGAGACACGGCCCAGACUCCUACGGGAGGCAGCAGUAGGGAAUCUUCCACAAUGGACGAAAGUCUGAUGGAGCAACGCCGCGUGAACGAUGAAGGCCUUCGGGUCGUAAAGUUCUGUUGUAAGGGAAGAACAAGUGCCGCAGGCAAUGGCGGCACCUUGACGGUACCUUGCGAGAAAGCCACGGCUAACUACGUGCCAGCCGCCGCGGUAA